UGGUUUCAUGAACAGUGUACUGAAAGUGGAAUAAUAUAGAGAAUGUUAGCAGGGCCUCUGCUUAAGGAGUACAUGGAAAUUUAUGAAGCAUUCAAUGUUUUC